UAGUUGGUGGGGUAAAGGCCUACCAAGGCGACGAUCAGUAGCGGGUCUGAGAGGAUGAUCCGCCACACUGGGACUGAGACACGGCCCAGACUCCUACGGGAGGCAGCAGUGGGGAAUUUUGGACAAUGGGGGCAACCCUGAUCCAGCCAUUCCGCGUGAGUGAAGAAGGCCUUCGGGUUGUAAAGCUCUUUCAGCUGGAACGAAACGGUACAUCCUAAUACGGUGUGCUAAUGACGGUACCAGCAGAAGAAGCACCGGCUAACUACGUGCCAGCAGCCGCGGUAAUACGUAGGGUGCGAGCGUUAAUCGGAAUUACUGGGCGUAAAGCGUGCGCAGGCGGAUUGUUAAGCAAGAUGUGAAAUCCCCGGGCUUAACCUGGGAAUGGCAUUUUGAACUGGCAGUCUAGAGUGCGUCAGAGGGGGGUGGAAUUCCACGUGUAGCAGUGAAAUGCGUAGAGAUGUGGAGGAACACCAAUGGCGAAGGCAGUCCCCUGGGAUGACACUGACGCUCAUGUACGAAAGCGUGGGUAGCAAACAGGAUUAGAUACCCUGGUAGUCCACGCCCUAAACGAUGUCAACUGGUUGUUGGGGGAGUGAAAUCCCUUAGUAACGAAGCUAACGCGUGAAGUUGACCGCCUGGGGAGUACGGUCGCAAGAUUAAAACUCAAAGGAAUUGACGGGGACCCGCACAAGCGGUGGAUGAUGUGGAUUAAUUCGAUGCAACGCGAAAAACCUUACCUACCCUUGACAUGUCCAGAACCCUGCAGAGAUGCGGGGGUGCCCGAAAGGGAAUUGGAACACAGGUGCUGCAUGGCUGUCGUCAGCUCGUGUCGUGAGAUGUUGGGUUAAGUCCCGCAACGAGCGCAACCCUUAUCAUUAGUUGCUACGCAAGGGCACUCUAAUGAGACUGCCGG
rnacentral:rRNA from 1 species